CAGCAGCCGCGGGAAUACAGAGGGUGCGAGCGUUAAUCGGAUUUACUGGGCGUAAAGCGUGCGUAGGCGGCUUUUUAACUCGGAUGUGAAAUCCCUGAGCUUAACUUAGGAAUUGCAUUCGAUACUGGGAAGCUAGAGUAUGGGAGAGGAUGGUAGAAUUCCAGGUGUAGCGGUGAAAUGCGUAGAGAUCUGGAGGAAUACCGAUGGCGAAGGCAGCCAUCUGGCCUAAUACUGACGCUGAGGUACGAAAGCAUGGGGAGCAAACAGGAUUAGAUACCCCGGUAGUCCCUGUCUCUUAUAC
rnacentral:rRNA from 1 species